rnacentral:lncRNA from 1 species
GCAGAGUCCUUCAUUAUUUGUGUGAUUAUUUUCCCCAAAUCAUUACCCUCAUCUGUGCUGGGACUUUCCAAAGCUUCCAGCCUAGCAUUCAGGGAGCAGCUCCCUUUCUGCAUUAAUAUUUCAUCAGCUUCCCUCAGUGGCUCUCCGAGAGUGGCCCAGGGACCACUUGCGACCCUUUCAGGGAAUCCAAAGUCCAAAUUCUUUUCACGGUCAAACUGAGAUGUUGUUUGCCCUUGAUGCUCUCAUUUUCUCCAGAAGGUACAAAUAAAGAUUUUCAGAGCCCCCAGCCCCCAGCCCUGGCCUCUGACAGCCGACGGAA